CCGGACUGUUGCUGCUACCUUGACGUGGUGGUCAGGCUUGCAUAUCGUAAUGAACCGAUCGAGCUAUACUGACUGGAACAAUCGUCUCUCAAAGUCGUACCAGGCCAGACAGGUCGGUCGAAGAGCGGUAAGACUAAAAGCAGC
rnacentral:ribozyme from 1 species